UACGGGGGGGGCAAGCGUUGUUCGGAAUUACUGGGCGUAAAGGGCUCGUAGGCGGCCAACUAAGUCGGAUGUGAAAUCCCCAGGCUUAACCUGGGAACUGCAUCCGAUACUGGAUGGCUUGAAUUCGGGAGAGGGGUGCAGAAUUCCAGGUGUAGCGGUGAAAUGCGUAGAUAUCUGGAGGAACACCGGUGGCGAAGGCGGCAUCCUGGACCGACACUGACGCUGAGGCGCGAAAGCUAGGGUAGCAAACGGG
rnacentral:rRNA from 1 species